AGAAAUUCUGUAAAAGAUUGAAUAACAUUUAAUCAAAAGAUAAAUUUAAAUAUGUGGAACGUUUGAAAACAUAUCAUUCAUCCAAAAAUUAUUAGAACAGUUAAAACUAAUUGAAAAUUUAUAUGCACUCACAAUUGGGUCAAAAAUGAAUAACCCACUAUUAGUUCUAGUGUUUUUGAAAAUUAAAAUACUUCAUGACGAGAAUCCUUUGGUCCAAUAGCAAAUUCAUCCACC
rnacentral:lncRNA from 1 species